GCGGGACAGCGGGACCGGCACGGCCGGGGACGGGGCUGGGGCGGCCAGGGAGCGACCCCCGGGACAGGGAUGGGCUGGGACGGGUGUCCCCUGUCACAGGGACACAGGUGUAUCUGAAUAAAGCUGGAGCAAGAAAAGGGAUAAAUUACAUCUAAUGAGCACAUUCCAUCUCUGGUUGCCCAAGCAGGAGAAGUGCAGAAGGUUAAAAUGAAUUUUCAACUUGAAUUAUUCAAGACAACGCUUCAUAGAAAUGCUUUGGAAAGGAUAAUUGCUGCUUUUAGAACUUUUUACAAAGCUAUCAUUUGGCACUGCUGAGAAGGGAUUGUCCUCUCUACACUGAGGGGAUGGGCAUGAACCUCAGAGAAGGUUAAGCCUACCUGAACAGCAAUUAGAGAGAUGAAACAGCCAAAAUCAGUUUUGUUAGAAAAGACCAGCACGUGCAUCGACAUUUUAUUAAUUAUUAAUUACUGGCCUUGUCAGCUCCUUCCUUCCUUUGGCCUUCCUAAUGAACCAUGGUGUUGGGAUGAGUAAAACCUUGGGUGAGGAUGGAGUGGGAUAGGAUGGAGUGGGAUAGGAUGGAGUGGGAUAACAUGUGAUCUCCAGUGUGCAUGCACAAGGUUACCCCUGCUCAUGAUGUUUAAAAGACCAGGUCCUUACUUUGCCAGCCUGAUUUCAAUGGAAAAGCAUCCUGGUCACUCUGUGAGUCACCAGGCAAUCCUGCUUCCCCCUCCACUUCCCCAAGACACUUCUUUCCAAUUUUUCCUUUUUCUUCUGCUGGUGAGUAGGAGGAUUUUCAUCCUUUUUUUUUUCCCCCACCCCCAGCCCUUCCAAAGCCAUUUCAGGAUGGUGUGUACACUGUGAACUCCUAAGGAGCCCCCCACAUUUUUGUUCUGGGGUGUGUGAGGCUGGAACAUAUGUCUGCACAGCUUGCUGCACCAUCCCACACAAGGAGCUCCGACGGAAAUGGACCUCCUGGGAUUCACUCAGGGAAACCUUCUGUCACUGCCAUUGGGGCCACAAGUGUCAUUUCUGUUUCCCCAGCAGGAGAAUGGGACAAAUUGUCACUGUGGGAAUGGCUUCAAAGUGAAAGAGCUGGUUUAGAGGGGAUAUUGGGAAGAAAUUCUUCCCUGUGGCGUGGGCAGGCCCUGGCACAGGGUGCCCGAGAAGCUGUGAGUGCCCCUGUGUGGGAAAUGAUUUGUAGGAAAUUCUCAAGCACAGAAGGCUCACACAGUGGGCAUAUCUUUGCAAACUUUAAGAUAAGACAUACUGACUUAAAAAUACCAUAGAAUAAGACAGACAUUGUUGAGAGAGAAAUAGAACUAGAAACAAGUUUCAAAGGAUGGCCUUGCAAAUAAGACUGGAUACUUUAAAGAAAUAGAACAAUGAAAGAUGAAUUGUAGUGGGACCCAAGGGGUAAUUUUAAAUUAUUGGCUUUAAGGCAUUUACAACAUAGUGUGGCUAAAGCUAAUAAGCCAAGAAAUGCUGAUAAUGUAUUGUAAUUAAGGAAUAGUUAACUUCUGAUUGUAAUAGUGUAAAGUAUACCAUCUGUAUUGUCUCACCCUUCACAUGAGACUGAAAAUAAAACAAAAGUUUUUUAAAUGCCUCUCAGUUACCCCAUCUCUAAGUCAUAAAAAAAAAAACUUAAUCCAACACCCCUGGAUCUCUGGCAGUGCCCAAGGCCACAUUGGACACUGGGGCUUGGAGCAGCCUGGCACAGUGGAAGGUGUCCCUGCCCAUGGUGGGGAGUUGGAACUGGAUGAUCUUUAAGGUCCCUUCCAGCCCAAGCCAUUCUGUGAUUCUGUGAUAGAAAAUGAACAGCAUUUAGACACCUUCAUCUGUAAAAUCACCAGGCCCUACAGUCCCAUGCUCUAUUUUGGCUCAUUUAGCUGAGUCAAAGAAAAUAUGAUCAGAUUGUGUGAGCACUAAAACAGCAGAGAAAAGCCACUUUCUGAUUAAAGCUGAUUUGAGGUUGGUGCUAGAAACAGAAAUAAGAUUCUUCAUUUCUUCAUGAAGAUGGGCUUGAAAGGAGGUUGGACCAUUACAAGGAUUUUGAGAAGUGGCUCCCUAUCAAAGAAAUAAAUGCUGUUUUCUCUCACGAAGCACAAGGGAAUUGAAGCUCCUAGAAAAGACAAAGGCAGGAGGAAAGCUGCCCAUGGGACUGAAUUAGCUGUCUCUAUCUUGCUGCCUACAGGAUGCUGCUCUGCAGUAGCAAAUCAGGCCAAAGAGAUGCUAAGCCAUAGCUUUUCCAACUCUGCCUCUGUUUUUUCCUCUCCUAUUCUCCAAAAUACCUGGUGCAAGGUGUUUCUCAUUCAAAACAGAUUUUAUUACUGUUAGCUGUAGAAGUCUAAGUGAGACACACAGGUCCCUCUCUGUCUCUAACGAGUUUUUUUUAAAUCUUAUCAUUAGUCUGUUGGUGUAGUCACAUUUUUCCUUAAUCAGAAGCUUGGAGGAAAAGCUCUGGAAAUAACAGGGCAGGGCCAUUUCCUCUCUGUGUCACCUUUGUAAACAUUGAGAUGCAUUUUCCCUCAUUGUUUCCCUCCUUAUUUUCACUCCAGAGGAGUCUGAAAGGCUGGACUGGACUUUCUGGUUCAGACUGCAAAAGCAGCUGAGCCCAGUCCCACCAGGUUGCUUCCCACUGGUCUGAGGAAUCCUUCUUUGUCUCUUUCCAAGGAAGUCAGGUAAUCUUUGCCUUGAUUUGAAGAUUUGUGAAAUUAUGCUACCAUGAAUCUAGGCCAGGAUUAAUUUUCAAAAAACCUUGUAGCACCAAUUUAACUCAUCUGAUUUUUUCUUUAAUUUCUUUUUUUUUUUCCUUUUUUUUUUUCCCUUGCUGAUUAUAAAGCCACAGCUCUUUGCAGAAUUGCUGUGGGCCCUUGAUGAGGAAAGCUUUGGACAUAAUCUUCUUCCAGACUUUCACACCCAGGAGGCCACAGGAUUAAACACUUUUUUUGGCACAAAUACCCUCACAGUUUUUUAUUUGGCCUGAAUAAAUCUGCACAACUGGAAUGCUGUUCUCCAGUCCUCUCCUGCCAGCACUCCUUGGAAACCACAUUCCAUGCUUCUCCUUUUCCAGGUGCAUUUCUCCUCUCCAACACUGAAACCAGUGAGUUGUAGCUGGAAAAAUGAAAAUGUCAUCAUUCAGGGCAGAUGAAGACAUUUGUCGUGGAGUUCAGGCAAGAAGAAGUAAGAAAGUUUAUCACACUGUGACAGAAGAUGCAGCUUUGGUGCUGUCAGAGGGAGUGUAAAUCUGAGAAGGAAAUUUUUUAAUGCAUCAGUUCCCCUGGCAACAUUUUCUUUAGCUUUAGAAAUGCUUUGUCUCUGAUUCAAACAGCUUUAAUUGCUCUGGUUAUCCUUCAGUUUAUUCUAAAGAACUUUUCAAUGCGUGAUAAUGUGCCAAGAGAAGGGAAACAUCAUUCUCUACACUCAUAAUCAUGAUUGCAUUUUUCAUUAUUGCUUAAGGGCAUGCUUUUUAGACUCUUCCUGAGGCUUACAUGGAAAACUAGAUUCUUCAAGGAGUUCAAACAAAGUGCAAAUCUAUCCAGAGCUCCUUUAAAACUGGUGCUCACCACCUCUCUCUAGCAAGCACAGUGAGUCCAGCUCUGGGCACAGAAGUCCAGAUGAACAAAUGGACAGCUUUGUUAGAGGAAUGCACACACAGACACUGAGUCCAGGGCUCCAAAUCCCACAGGACUUCCCAGGAAAUUUACCAUGAGACCAUGGAAUUAAACCCCUUUUCACACAGAAUCCCACAGAAUUGUUAGGAUUAGAAGGGACCUCUGAAGUUCAUCUUGUCCAACACCCCCAGGCCUUUCUUAUUUUCCUGAUGAUUUUGCAAGAGCUGCCAGUUAUGAGAAACGUUCAUACUCACACCUCUGAAAAUAGAAUAUUAAUGAAUGUUCCCCAAGUGCCCCACAGGCAUGAUCCAGAGUGGCACUGCCAUGAUGAGAGAGCAGAGUGUCACCUGCACACUAGGUGUGAUAUUGGGAGAGCUGUUUCAUUCUCAUGAAACACAUCCCUGUGACUGACAUCUUGCUGCUCCCUUUGGGCAUUCAGUAGAGAUCACCAAGUAGAAAUGGCAGGAGUUUUUUUGGAAAUCAAUGUUUCCUCUGCGCUGUUUGUGAUACCAGGCCUGUGACUGAAAGCUGCCCUUUUGCAGUAAGACACUGUAAGGCUCUGGAGAGAUGGUUUCAGAUACUCAAUUUCUCUUUGUGUGGUACAAUCACUGAUGUAUUUUGGCUUUCUCCUGUAAAGGAGCAGUGAAUUUUAUUUUGAUAUUCAGGCUGAGAGAGUUGGGGCUGUUCACACCAGAGAAAUCCCCAGGGAGAACUUACUGCAUUUUUCCAUUAUCUGAAGGGGCUACAAGAGAGCUGGAGAGGGAUUUUUUACAAGGCUUUGUACUGAUAGGACAAGGGGUAAUGGCUUUAAACUGAAGGAGGGUCAAUUUAAACUAGAUAUGAGAGAGAAUUUUUUUUUUACAAUGAGCAUGAGGAAAACCACAACAGGUUGUCCAGAGAGGUGGUGGAUUCCCAAUCCUUGGAAAACUUCAAGGCCAGGCUGGACAGAGCACUGACAGAGUUGAAAAUGUCACUGCCCACAGCAGAGGGGGUGGGACUGGAUGACCUUUAAAGGGUCCUUUCAAUCCAGCCACUCAGAUUUCAUGAUUCUGUAUGGGCAUUUCCUUUGAAACACUUGUAGACAAAAUGAGAUCCCCUAAAACCUGAGGGAGCUAGUGAGUACUGCAAGAUCUCAAAAAUAGAGUAAAGGCUGACAUUUUAAAGGAUAAACCUUCCAGUCCUUUCCUGUUCCAUCUCCCCUGGAAGGUGGUGUGGCUCAGGAAACCUGCCAGAGUCCCACCCACAGGGUUUGGCCUCAGGAUGAGGAGCUGACAUCCCCAAAAUGGGCUGAGGUGCCUGCCCUGGAUUGCCAAGCAGAUUGCAUUCUGUUUGCCUUCUGUAGGGCAGUUGUCUUCUGUUCAGUGGGAAGUUUUCCUUAUCUCUGCCACAGCCACUCCUCCCUCUGGGGACAUCUGCUGAUAACAGGCUAUGGGAUGUCCCUGCAUGGCUGAUAAGAACUACAGCAUCCAUUGGGACAUGCUCCACCCAGAGGGAGGAGCCAAGCAUUGCUACCUGGAUAGAAUCUUGAGAUUUGGAACACCGGCACAGCUUCUCCACUGGAUUUCCUAGAGGGGCAGCUGCCUCUUCUUCCACUGGAUCUUCUGAAGAAGACAACACCCUUCUACAGGAUAUCCCUGCUCCAGCAGAACCACACCUGACUGUGGCAGUCAUAUUUUCUGGGAAAAUCCCUUUGCCCAGGAUUCUUCUUCUGGGAAGCUGAGAAGCCUCAGAGAAAAAGGAAAACAAUUUCAUCUCAUUUGCUUCUCCUGUGUUUUGCUGCUUUGGAAUGUGAUUGGAGAUUGUUUACCAACAGGUGAUUGUUUCAUUGGUUUCAUGUGAAUUGUUUUGACUUAAUGACCAAUCAGGGUCAAGCUAUAUCGGGGCUCUGGAAGGAGUCAGGAUUUUUCAUUAUUAUCUUUUUAGCCUUCUGUAAGUAUCCUUUCUGUAUUCUUUAGUAUAGUUCAGUACAGUUUUAGUAUAGCCUUCUUUAAUAUAAUAUAGAAUCAUAAAAUAAUAAAUUAGCCUUUUAAGAA